UACGUAGGGGGCAAGCGUUGUCCGGAAUCAUUGGGCGUAAAGCGCGUGUAGGCGGCCCGGUAAGUCCGCUGUGAAAGUCGGGGGCUCAACCCUCGGAUGCCGGUGGAUACUGUCGGGCUAGAGUGCGGGAGAGGCGAGUGGAAUUCCUGGUGUAGCGGUGAGAUGCGCAGAUAUCAGGAGGAACACCAAUUGCGAAGGCAGCUCGCUGGAACGUUACUGACGCUGAGACGCGAAAGCGUGGGGAGCAAACAGG
rnacentral:rRNA from 1 species